AUGCGACGGUCAGCCCGGCAGCGAGGCAAAGGAACGGCGGCGCCGGCGGGUAGGGAGGGAGCGAGGACGCGCGCAUCAUCGUUGCUCUCCAUGGCCGACGGCGACCCCGAGGCUAGCAUGGAGGAUGAUGAAUAUACGGCUGAUGGGUCAUUCUCAACCCGUUUCUCACCCACUCGGUUACGGCAGGUUGCAGAUAGUCAGUCCCAGAAGAAGAAGGAAGUUAUGAGCAAAGGCAGCUUUGGUUCCCUCUUGAAUAUCAGCUCUUUCUCUGUGCCGGCUGAUCUGCUCGAUUGGGUAGUCAUGAAAAUUGACCCAGAAAUGGCGUUGUUUAGUCACAAAAAGAAGUCUAUAUUCUUUACAAAAGACAUGGUGCGGAAUUUUUUUAAUGUCCCUUCUGGGGCAAGGCCAGUGGAGCUGUUGAGGAGGAAUGAGCCACAUGUGCUCCGUGAACCUUACCGAGUAGGGUCAAGGGCUCUAAUGAAGCAUUGUAUUCAAGUGCUCAAGGAUGUAGGGGAGGAUGAUGUUGUUAGUAUAAAUAGGACAUGGCUGCUAUUAUGUAUCGCUGUUGUGCUAUCUCCUGGGACUAGCAACAUGGUACCCCUAUAG
rnacentral:rRNA from 1 species